UAGAAUUGAGGAAAUUGAGCGGCAGUACUGGGAGACUUCAGCAUCUAUACUUUUUGUAAUAAAUAAAAACAAAAAAAAAACUUUAAAAACUCGUGUGUGUGUGUGUGUGUGUGUGUGUGUGUGUGUGAUGUAUAUCAAUUGAUUGACCUAUCAGACAGCCUGUACUGUGAUCCAG